AAUGAACGCUGGCGGCGUGCCUAACACAUGCAAGUCGAGCGAAAGGACGAGACGCUUGCUUCUCUGAUGUUGGAGACGGGCGGGUGAUUAACCCGUGCAUACCCUACCUAUAAGACUGGGAUAACUUCGGGAACCCGGAUAUCACACCCGAUCUAAUUUUGAACCGCAUGGUUCAAAAGUGCAAGACGUUCUUGCUGUGCCUUUUACAUGUAUCCGCGCUGCAUUAGCUAGUUGGUAAGGUAACGGCUCACCAAGGCAACGAUGCAUAGCCGACCUGAGAGGGUGAUCAGCCACACUGGAACUGAGACACGGUCCAGACUCCUACGGGAGGCAGCAGUAGGGAAUCUUCCGCAAUGGGCGAAAGCCUGAUGGAGCAAUGCCGCGUGAGUGAUGAAGGUCUUCGGAUUGUAAAACUCUGUUAUUAGGGAAGAAAAUAUGGUUAAGUAACUGUGCAGAUCUUGACGGUACCUAAACAGAAAGCCACGGCUAACUACGUG
rnacentral:rRNA from 1 species